UCCAUUGGAUUUGAUUGUUCUUCUGGAUGAGAUUUUUUGAGGUAUCAGUCUCCCAUAUUGAAUCAAGCAUUCAAAAUAAAUGGUCAUUGACUUAGGCGAGAAGGGUUCGGCUUAAGGUUGGAUGGCCGUGGCCCUUGCGCCAUUGGUGGGCGGAUAUGGUGGAUUUUCCGCAGUUAGUGAGCCCCUGUGCAUGGUUCUCUGAUCUAUGACAAGAGAGAUAUGAAGUGAGGGAAAAGAAGAUAUCUAAGAAGAGAUCGAGAGGAUUGAAGGCAAUGGGAAGCAUGGAAAGCGAAUCAGAAUGCGCAGUGAGGGUUUUGUAAGAGAUGAUGACAAUGAUGAUGCAAGAAACGGUAGGUUUUGGAAGAAUUUGGUAAGAUAGAGCAAAAGGAAUUGAACCUUGUGAAGACAUGGGUGACAGAUCGGUGUUUGAAUUUGGGAAAGUAUUGUUAAGGAGGGGAAGAAGGGGAGGAAGGUGUGCUUACGAUUGCUAGAUACGUCGGUUAUGAGAAAUAAUAAGAAGAUGAAAUGCAAAACUCUCUCUCUCUAUGUGAAAAUGUGAAUAAAGCGAAACAAAUUAGCUUGGGAAUCACCGUAACGGAACUAAAAGCUUUCUUCAUAGCUUCAACGAUUACCUAUUUUGAUGUUGCCCUAUUCCCCGUCACAUAGUACUUAUCGUCUUCCAAGGGGUG